UUUCCGUAGGUGAACCUGCGGAAGGAUCAUUACAGAGUUCAUGCCCUCACGGGUAGAUCUCCCACCCUUGAAUAUUUAUACCUUAGUUGCUUUGGCGGGCCGUGGAAACACCAUGGGCUCCGGCUUAUGCGUGCCUGCCAGAGGAAACAAACUCUGUUUUUAGUGAUGUCUGAGUACUAUAUAAUAGUUAAAACUUUCAACAACGGAUCUCUUGGUUCUG
rnacentral:misc_RNA from 1 species